rnacentral:sRNA from 1 species
UCUUUUUAAAUCGUUACUUAAAUCUUUUAAAAGAAUACGAGUUUGAAAUCUAAACCUAUUAGUUAAUAUAGGGGUGUCAAAAUAGGUAGCCCAACUCAACUUAACUCAUAAUCAAAUGAGUUUAUGAUUAAAUGAGUUAUAGGUUGACCCAACCCAUUUAAUAAAAUGAGUUGCGUCAACCCAUAACUCAUUUAAUUUGAUGGGUUGAGUUGUUAAACGGUUUAACCAAUUUACGUAAUAAUUUAAUUAAUAAU